rnacentral:rRNA from 2 species
UUGAUCCUGGCUCAGGACGAACGCUGGCGGCGCGCUUAACACAUGCAAGUCGAGCGAUGAAACUUUAACAGAACCCUUCGGGGCGAAGAUAAAGUGGAUUAGCGGCGGACGGGUGAGUAACACGUGAGUAACCUGCCUUAGACAUUGGGAUAGCCUCGGGAAACCGGGAUUAAUACCAAAUAAAAUCAUAAUGACACAUGUCAUAACGAUCAAAACUCCGGUGGUCUAAGAUGGACUCGCGUCCCAUUAGCUAGUUGGUAGAGUAAAAGCCUACCAAGGCGACGAUGGGUAGCCGGCCUGAGAGGGUGAACGGCCACAUUGGAACUGAGAAACGGUCCAAACUCCUACGGGAGGCAGCAGUGGGGAAUAUUGCACAAUGGAGGGAACUCUGAUGCAGCGACGCCGCGUGAACGAAGAAGGCUUUCGAGUCGUAAAGUUCUUUUAUAUGGGAAGAUAAUGACGGUACCAUAAGAAAAAGCCCCGGCUAACUACGUGCCAGCAGCCGCGGUAAUACGUAGGGGGCUAGCGUUGUCCGGAAUCACUGGGCGUAAAGGGUUCGCAGGCGGAAAUGCAAGUCAGAUGUAAAAGGCAGUAGCUUAACUACUGUAAGCAUUUGAAACUGCAUAUCUUGAGAAGAGUAGAGGUAAGUGGAAUUUUUAGUGUAGCGGUGAAAUGCGUAGAUAUUAAAAAGAAUACCGGUGGCGAAGGCGACUUACUGGGCUCAUUCUGACGCUGAGGAACGAAAGCGUGGGUAGCAAACAGGAU